AUUUACAUGCUACUUACCCAACAUUUCUUUCUUUAACUUUUCAUUCCUUUCUUCAAUUUGUCUCGGUAAUCGCUGUGGAGAGAGAGAAAAAGUGGAAUCAGACCCAUGCUUUCAAUAAUGCUGUAGGCCACAUAAUUCUUCCUGGAAAGAGCUCUGAGACCAUCUCCAGGUGAUCAACACCUAAAGACUGUUCCAAAAUACAACUUGCAGUGCUUUGCUUGCAACCUUGGCUUUUAUUUAGUAAACACUACAGAAAAAAACCAGCAACUGUAACACAAUCGAACAUAUUAUAUUGGACAGAUGAAACUAGGAAAACACCAAAUGCUGAAAUGAAUGACUACACCUAUAUUGGAGAAGAAAUCCCAGGGCACUUGUUCAACCCCUGGAAAAGCCAAUUCUACAGAUAAGCUUUUAUUUAUGGAGAACAAUGGGAUCAACCUGAAGGCACAGGGAAGAAAGGAAGGGUGAGGAGGAGGGCAGCUUAAAGGAAAUUUCUUAAGACAAUAUUCUCUUACGUAUCCUUGAGCUUCUGCACAAAACAGGGGAAAAAAAGAAAGAAAUUCUACUGCUUAGCUCAGAAAAAAUCUCAGGGUUAACUCAAAAAUGCUACUUCUCAAAAUCAGUUUCACUUAAUUGGAACAGAGUGGCUGACAAGACACUAAUGAAGAAUCUCCUCUACCAGAGCUGUGUUCCUUGUCCUGCUGACACAUUUCCCACUGUUAGAACAGACAUGGACUGUGAUUCCAGCCAGCUGUAUGGCAAUGGACAUGGAACAGCCCAGAGAAGGGAACUGCUUUGGAGGAAUAUUAGAUAUUUAUUGCAGUGUACUACAUCCAAAAAAAAGAGCUUCCUAGGCCAGGUGCAUAAGUCCUUGCCAGACAAGGCCCAAAGAACAAGACAACAUCUGUCACGAUGGAAGAGCACGAGGGAUUUAGAAUGAAGGAUUCAGAAUGAAGGAUUCAGAGUGUUGCACUGGAUAAACUCCUAAUUAAUGGGUGUCCCUCCAGAAGAGGAUGGGAAAGGCUGGAACAAUUACCAUGGAACAGCUGUUAGGUGUCCUUGGAUUAAUCCUGCAGACCAGACCAACGUCAAAGCCAUCACUGUCAGUGACAACUAACCAGAAAAAUCUGUUUAUAAUGCAUCAAAAGCAAUUUACUGCUCAGUGCCUCUGCUGAGGCAGCAAUCAGAAUGCUUUGGAAACAGCAACAAAACCUUAUAAAAGUCAAUUUUGGUUUUAACUCUUAAAAAGCUCAGAGUUGCAAGCCCAGCCAAAUAACCAGGCUCAAUGCUGCAUCUGUUUUUCAGAAUAUUUCUUGCAGGUUUGUGUCUUAAUAUCAUUUCAAGCUCUUAUUUUGCUUCAUUGUGCAGAGAAGAUUUCUUAUGGUAUUGGUACUGUUUUCCCUGGGAGGAAUUCCCGGCGCUUAAAAUUAGAAAUCUCACUGUAAGGGGCUCCUGAAAUAUAACUGAAGAAAAUACACAAACAAUUGUUCCUUCACUCUGCAGCAGCUUCUGCACAAGUGAGUAUUUCUACUCAGAGCUGCUGCUGUGGAAGUUUGCACACCAGGAUACACAUAAAUACACAGAACAAGGACUGGAAUCUGCCUUUGCACUUCCAGCAUAAAUGAGACACUUUUUCUACAGCCUAUUACUGGGGAACAACACUCGAUAGAACUCGUUUAUUAAAGCUGCUGAAACACA